rnacentral:rRNA from 1 species
UUGUCCCGGUUUAAGCGUGUAGGCUGGUUUUCCAGGCAAAUCCGGAAAAUCAAGGCUGAGGCGUGACGACGAGGCACUACGGUGCUGAAGCAACAAAUGCCCUGCUUCCAGGAAAAGCCUCUAAGCAUCAGGUAACACGAAAUCGUACCCCAAACCGACACAGGUGGUCAGGUAGAGAAUACCAAGGCGCUUGAGAGAACUCGGGUGAAGGAACUAGGCAAAAUGGUGCCGUAACUUCGGGAGAAGGCACGCUGACACGUAGGUGAAGUGAUUUACUCAUGGAGCUGAAGUCAGUCGAAGAUACCAGCUGGCUGCAACUGUUUAUUAAAAACACAGCACUGUGCAAACACGAAAGUGGACGUAUACGGUGUGACGCCUGCCCGGUGCCGGAAGGUUAAUUGAUGGGGUCAGCGCAAGCGAAGCUCCUGAUCGAAGCCCCGGUAAACGGCGGCCGUAACUAUAACGGUCCUAAGGUAGCGAAAUUCCUUGUCGGGUAAGUUCCGACCUGCACGAAUGGCGUAAUGAUGGCCAGGCUGUCUCCACCCGAGACUCAGUGAAAUUGAACUCGCUGUGAAGAUGCAGUGUACCCGCGGCAAGACGGAAAGACCCCGUGAACCUUUACUAUAGCUUGACACUGAACAUUGAGCCUUGAUGUGUAGGAUAGGUGGGAGGCUUUGAAGUGUGGACGCCAGUCUGCAUGGAGCCGACCUUGAAAUACCACCCUUUAAUGUUUGAUGUUCUAACGUGGACCCGUAAUCCGGGUUGCGGACAGUGUCUGGUGGGUAGUUUGACUGGGGCGGUCUCCUCCUAAAGAGUAACGGAGGAGCACGAAGGUUGGCUAAUCCUGGUCGGACAUCAGGAGGUUAGUGCAAUGGCAUAAGCCAGCUUGACUGCGAGCGUGACGGCGCGAGCAGGUGCGAAAGCAGGUCAUAGUGAUCCGGUGGUUCUGAAUGGAAGGGCCAUCGCUCAACGGAUAAAAGGUACUCCGGGGAUAACAGGCUGAUACCGCCCAAGAGUUCAUAUCGACGGCGGUGUUUGGCACCUCGAUGUCGGCUCAUCACAUCCUGGGGCUGAAGUAGGUCCCAAGGGUAUGGCUGUUCGCCAUUUAAAGUGGUACGCGAGCUGGGUUUAGAACGUCGUGAGACAGUUCGGUCCCUAUCUGCCGUGGGCGCUGGAGAACUGAGGGGGGCUGCUCCUAGUACGAGAGGACCGGAGUGGACGCAUCACUGGUGUUCGGGUUGUCAUGCCAAUGGCACUGCCCGGUAGCUAAAUGCGGAAGAGAUAAGUGCUGAAAGCAUCUAAGCACGAAACUUGCCCCGAGAUGAGUUCUCCCUGAGACUUAGAGUCUCCUGAAGGAACGUUGAAGACGACGACGUUGAUAGGCCGGGUGUGUAAGCGCAGCGAUGCGUUGAGCUAACCGGUACUAAUGAACCGUGAGGCUUAACCUU